rnacentral:tRNA from 1 species
GGGACUGUAGCUUAAUGGCAGAGCGCUUGACUCGCAUGCAUGGGGCACUGGGUUCAAUCCUCAGCACCA